rnacentral:rRNA from 1 species
GUAGGGAAUCUUCCACAAUGGGCGCAAGCCUGAUGGAGCAACACCGCGUGAGUGAAGAAGGGUUUCGGCUCGUAAAACUCUGUUGUUAAAGAAGAACGUAUCUAAGAGUAACUGCUUAGGUAGUGACGGUAUUUAACCAGAAAGCCACGGCUAACUACGUGCCAGCAGCCGCGGUAAUACGUAGGUGGCAAGCGUUAUCCGGAUUUAUUGGGCGUAAAGCGAGCGCAGGCGGUUUUUUAAGUCUGAUGUGAAAGCCUUCGGCUUAACCGAAGAAGUGCAUCGGAAACUGGGAAACUUGAGUGCAGAAGAGGACAGUGGAACUCCAUGUGUAGCGGUGAAAUGCGUAGAUAUAUGGAAGAACACCAGUGGCGAAGGCGGCUGUCUGGUCUGUAACUGACGCUGAGGCUCGAAAGCAUGGGUAGCGAACAGGAUUAGAAACCCCAGUAGUCC